UACGUAGGGGGCAAGCGUUGUUCGGAUUCAUUGGGCGUAAAGGGUGCGUAGGCGGCGCGGUAAGUCGGGUGUGAAAUCUCGGAGCUUAACUCCGAAACUGCAUUCGAUACUGCCGUGCUUGAGGACUGGAGAGGAGACUGGAAUUUACGGUGUAGCGGUGAAAUUCGUAGAUAUUCGGAGGAACACCAGUGGCGAAGGCGGCUCACUGGUCCGGUACUGACGCUGAGGUGCGAAAGCGUGGGGAGCAAACAGG
rnacentral:rRNA from 1 species